GGACCCAACCGUUUGCUGUUAGAUUAGCAUGCAUGUCUCAGUAUAAGCUUCUAUACGGCGAAACUGCGAAUGGCUCAUUAAAACAGUUAUAGUUUAUUUGGUGGUCAGCAAUUACAUGGAUAACCGUGGUAAUUCUAGAGCUAAUACAUGCGCCCAAACCCGACUUCGUGGAAGGGUUGUGUUUAUUAGAUACAGAACUAACCCAGGCUCCGCCUGGCCUUGAGGUGAUUCAUAAUAACCGAACGAAUCGCAUGGCUAUGCCGGCGAUAGACCAUUCAAGUUUCUGACCUAUCAGCUAUCGUCGGUAGGGUAUUGGCCUACCGUGGCAAUGACGGGUAACGGAGAAUUAGGGUUCGAUUCCGGAGAGGGAGCCUGAGAAACGGCUACCACAUCUAAGGAAGGCAGCAGGCGCGCAAAUUACCCAAUCCUGACGCAGGGAGGUAGUGACAAGAAAUAACAAUACAGGGCAUACAUGUCUUGUAAUUGGAAUGAGUAAACUU
rnacentral:rRNA from 1 species